UACGGGGGGAGCAAGCGUUGUUCGGAUUUACUGGGCGUAAAGGGCGCGUAGGCGGCCAGCACAAGUCAGUUGUGAAAUCUCCGAGCUUAACUCGGAAAGGUCAACUGAUACUGUGCGGCUAGAGUGCGGAAGGGGCAACUGGAAUUCUUGGUGUAGCGGUGAAAUGCGUAGAUAUCAAGAGGAACACCGAUUGCGAAGGCAGCUCGCUGGGACGUAACUGACGCUGAGACGCGAAAGCGUGGGGAGCAAACAGG
rnacentral:rRNA from 1 species